rnacentral:lncRNA from 1 species
AGUGACAACAGGAAAUUUGCAACAGUAAAAACAGGGUUCAGAGCAGGUUAUGGAGGUGAUGUUAGGGGAGCGUGGGUCAAUUUGUGAUGUUUGGGGAGCGUUGGUCAGGCGUGGUGUUAGGGGAGCGUUGGUCAAUCGGGUGAGGUGCUAGGGAAGAGUGGGUCAGUGCGUUGUAGAAGAUGCUGUAGAGCUCCUAAAAAGAAACAGAAACAGAGAACAGACAAUCAGAUACUUUUUUAAUAGUUCAUAAAAGAGUUCAAGAAAUUAGAUAUAAAUUAACCUCUUCCCAUUUUAUGCUCAUAUAUACUACGAUAUAAAUGGUGGAUGUCUUAAGUUUUACAUAUAGCACAAUGACCAUUCAGAGCUUAAACUGAAGUAGACACUUUUAACUAAUCAGUUAACUUCCAGACUUUAAUUUCCAUUAUUUAGGUCCCAUUUGAGAACAUCAAAUGAAAAAGAAAAUGUAAAAAUGUUAUAUUUGGAGUUUACAAUGUGUGUAUAGAUGUUGGUCAUGAAAAAUCAGUCAUUCUCUACACUUCCUGAUUCAUCAGGGUCUUGACUAACAAAUU